rfam:Flavonifractor plautii ATCC 29863 genomic scaffold Scfld198, whole genome shotgun sequence.
AAAGACUCCGCUCUGCACAAUCCGAACCGGUGAAACAUUGUGCAGAGC